CUACGGGAGGCUCCAGUGAGGAAUAUUGCACAAUGGGGGGAACCCUGAUGCAGCAACGCCGCGUGGAGGAUGACGCAUUUCGGUGUGUAAACUCCUUUUAUAUGUCAAGAAAAUGACGGUAGCAUAUGAAUAAGCACCGGCUAACUCCGUGCCAGCAGCCGCGGUAAUACGGAGGGUGCAAGCGUUACUCGGAAUCACUGGGCGUAAAGGACGCGUGGGCGGGUUGGAAAGUCAGGUGUGAAAUCCUACAGCUUAAAUGUAGAACUGCACUUGAAACUUCUAAUCUAGAGUAUGGGAGGGGGGAAAUGGAAUUAGUGGUGUAGGGGUAAAAUCCGUAGAUAUCACUAGGAAUACCUAAAGCGAAGGCGAUCUCCUGGAACAUUACUGACGCUAAGGCGUGAAAGCGUGGGGAGCAAACAGGAUUAGAUACCCCGGUAGUC
rnacentral:rRNA from 1 species